rnacentral:rRNA from 1 species
UCCAAAAUCCAUCAAUGCCCCUUAAUAUCCCAGGGCUGCAAACAUGCUACAAUGGCCCGGUACAAAGGGCUGGCUUAAACCGUUAGGUGGCGCGAAUCCCAUAAAGCCGGUCUCAGUUCGGAUUGGAGUCUGCAACUCGGACUCCAUGAAGCUGGAGUUGCUAGUAAUCCCGGAUCAGCAACGCCGGGGUGAAUACGUUCCCGGGCCUUGUACUACACCGCCCGUCACACCUACGGAAAGUUGGUAACACCCGAAGCCUAGUGGCCCUAACCCUUUGGGAGGGAGCUGUACGNAAGGUGGGNUCUAGCGAUUGGGGUGAAGUCGUAACAAGGUAACCGUG